UGUGUGUGUAUAUAUACCUGGUGUUUCUGUCUUGUCUUUGUCGGGUCAUUGUAUGUUGUCACCCAGUGUUGCAGUUUGUCUCGUGUCGUCAGCCUUUUGGAUUUCUGUUGAACAGCCGUCGUUUAUUAAACCACCGAACCAUACCUGCUCCGCUCUGUGUCCUGCUUUUGGGUCCUCCAACCUGCUCCACCCUGCUCCACACCACCGAUCGUGACACCCUGGACUGUCAUCAGGGCCAGUUGGAGGAUUAUUUGGCCCUACUGAAUGUAUCCGUCCCAACAACGUCAUUUCAGUCGGCACAGAUGUGGCAUCAGGAAGACAACAUUAAUCCCUCCCGCAAAGCUUUGGCUUGGUUUGGCCUGCUGAAUUACUGA